GCCAGGGUAGCUCAGCGGUAGAGCAGGGGAAUCAUAAUCCUCGAGUCGGGGGGUCGAAUCCCUCCCCUGGCA
rnacentral:tRNA from 1 species